UUUACCUUCGCGGGCAUUUUGAUCCACUUCAUCUCGGAAAGCUGUUAUUUGGAGAAUAAAAGGUUGCAGAAUAACAGCUAAUAUUAAUGGAUCAUUCUAUUCAAGAGAAAGUCAACUGGAAUGUGGAUGUUUUCAUAACAGGCUUAAAGUUGAACAAAUUGAUAAAGAAACCCUCCCGCUGAACAUCGGUUUCCAAAAGUGCACACCACACUGUUGUUUACAACUCCCAGGAAAAGAAUCCUCUUUAGUAAGACUGCUGCAUGGAUAUGUCAGGUUAAGCAGUGCUGAAACCGAAAGAACUAACACUCUUUAAAAUGUUUUGUGAGUUUAUAUGAAGAGGAAAGUUACGGUGUCCCUUUUUCACAUCCAUAACGCUUGUUUAUUUCUUUUUUUAUAGAAAACUUGUGCAUAGACUUAUAUUUUAUCAUAUAAAUGCGGUUCUAUCAACAAGGGUUUAGUAAAAUACUUUUUAUAGUGUUUUGAAGUGUUAAGUUGUCUAACUAUUUAUAUUUACUUGUGCCACUUUAAUAACCUUGUUAAAUGUAUAUGUUAAAAUCUAAACUAAUGUAAUUUAUUGAAGUUAAUUUUCUUUAAAUAUGUAUAAACAUACAUUUCAUCAAAGUGUUUUAUAUGCCAUUUUAUUGUUCAUUGAGCAUAACAUAUUGCAUGUUUUUAUGAAUUCCUUUUGUCUUGCAUUUUGAUCCUUAAUAAAACUAUUGAUUCUUACUGAUGCCUCGAGUAUUUCUCUGUGAUUUUGUUAUUAUUAUUUUUAAACAUUUCGGGUUUGUUUUAAACCAUCAAUGUAAUUUUUAAGCAAAAGUUGAUUUAAAUAAAACAACCCAGCAUGUUGGGUCAAAGAUUUAACCCAACUGGCUGGGUUAAAAUAACCCAACGCUGGGUUUGUCCAUAUUUGACCCAAUGUUGGGUUACCAAAAUAACCCAAAUUGGGUU